rnacentral:rRNA from 1 species
ACACAUGCAGUCGAGGGGUAACAGAUCUUCGGAUGCUGACGACCGGCGAACGGGUGAGUAACACGUAUGCAACUUACCCAUAACUCGGGAAUAGCCCAAAGAAAUUUGGAUUAAUACCCAAUAAUACAGGCGUACCGCAUGGUAUUCUUCGUUAAAGAAUAAUCGGUUAUGGAUAGGCAUGCGUUCUAUUAGGUAGUUGGUGAGGUAACGGCUCACCAAGCCGACGAUGGAUAGGGGAACUGAGAGGUUGUCCCCCCACACUGGUACUGAGACACGGACCAGACUCCUACGGGAGGCAGCAGUGAGGAAUAUUGGUCAAUGGACGAAAGUCUGAACCAGCCAAAUCGCGUGAAGGAAGAAGGUAUUAUGUAUCGUAAACUUCUUUUGUAAGAGAGUAAAGUGCACCACGUGUAGUGUAUUGCAAGUACCUUACGAAUAAGCAUCGGCUAAUUCCGUGCCAGCAGCCGCGGUAAUACGGAAGAUGCAAGUGUUAUCCGGAUUUAUUGGGUUUAAAGGGUGCGUAGGUGGUCUAAUAAGUCAGUGGUGAAAUCUCUUUGCUUAACAAGGAAAUUGCCAUUGAAACUGUUAGACUUGAGAAUGGACGAGGUAGGCGGAAUUCGUAGUGUAGCGGUGAAAUGCAUAGAUAUUACGAAGAACUCCAAUAGUGUAGACUGCUUACCAGACCAUAUCUGACACUAAAGCACGAAAGUGUGGGUAUCAAACAGGAUUAGAUACCCUGGUAGUCCACACAGUAAACGAUGAAUACUAACUGUUUGCGAUAUACAGCAAGUGGUCGAGCGAAAGCGUUAAGUAUUCCACCUGGGAGUAUGCCGGCACGUGAAACUCAAAGGAAUUGACGGGGCCCGCACAGCGAGACAUGUGUUUAUUCGAUAUACGNGAGAACUUACCGGGCUCGAC